UGAUCUGCUGAGGGUAGCCCUACUUCGCCUCGAUUU
rnacentral:rRNA from 1 species